GAUGCGUGAUACGUAUCGUCACUUUAUAAUAAGCAUUACAAAAUAUUUGGAACACUCUCACUAGGUAUGCAACCAACGUUACAGACACUUGUAUUGAAAGUUGCUGUUGAUCGACGACAAAGUUGGUAACUUUGGGAAAUUCAGAACCUAGAAGUUGGUUUGUGUGUCGAUACGGCUUCCGGCUGACGUGAUUGUCAUUGUAGAGGGACCGGAUCGUCACUUCAAUCUCGGCUUUUGUGGAAGCCAGACCUCACACCAGUGGCCAUUACGGAGAAUAUAAAAUUUUGGUUGAAAUGUUUUAAAUAGAAUAUUAAUUUACGUGAGAAGGAGUUGUUUUGUUUUUGGUUAAGUGUUUGAAGAGAAGAGUUUUUGUGUUCCAACACCUUUUUUUGAAGAGUAAUGGCCACUGGUGGAGACCAAGAUUAAGUCACCCCAAACAAGUUUUGAGAUGGAAUAGACAAUCAUUUUGGGUUUUUGGGCAUUGGAUGGAGUUUAGUUUUGGUUUAUUUUCUUUGGGAAAAUAUAUAGUUUUCCGGUGCUAGGAAGUAGCUCCUUGUCGCACCUCAUCUUCAUACCUUCUGGUUGGUGAGAAGUACUUCCCCUAAAGUAGGGAAAACCGGAAGAUACCUUACUUGGUUCUCCCCGUAUCAACUACUGGAGUUUGGAGAAGCCACAGUCCUGCAUUUAGUAGAAGCGACAGGUUUUUAUUGUUAAAAUUUACAUUUACAAUCCUUUUGCCUAAUAUUUUUUUUCAACUUUAACAUUUUUAAUAACAUAGAUAACCUUAAAAAUCAUGUAAAUUCAACUCUUCUAAAAUCAAUUCACUUUAUCAUAUUAAAUAUUUUCUUUUCAACAAAUUUUAGGUCAUUUUCAUUAUUGUAUCUUUAUUUAAAAUAGUCCGGAGAUCAUAACCUACCUGGUAAGAUAAUGUGUACACUAUCGUAAGGUUAUUACCUCAUCUCUUUAAUAGUAUUUAUUUCAUUCGUAAGUAUUGUCCGGUUCGUCAUUCUGAUCAGAUACGAAAUUGUCAACCAAUGUUGUAAUACUCUUUAAUAAUAAGUUUUUGUACAUGCAUAUUCAAAUCAACUAAUUGUCUUGGUAUAAUAAAUUCAAUCCAUUUUUGUACUGUAAUAUAUAUUUUAUAGACAGGAGCGUACUAGCCUAGUACGUCAGGUGUUAGCUAGUUUGUAUAAAUUGUAUAUAGGGGUUAUAGGUAAUUUUUUUCCAUUAAACUGGUUGGUUGUACAUA
rnacentral:lncRNA from 1 species